UGCAAGUCGAGGGGCAGCGCGGGGCGGCAACGUCCUGGCGGCGACCGGCGGAAGGGUGCGUAACGCGUGAGCGACAUGCCCGUUGCCCGGGGACAACCGGUGGAAACGCCGACUAAUACCCGAUGGGAUAUUGUGCCGCAUGGCACGAUAUUGAAAGUUACGGCGGCGACGGAUUGGCUCGCGUCCGAUUAGCUUGUUGGCGGGGUAACGGCCCACCAAGGCUGCGAUCGGUAGGGGUUCUGAGAGGAAGGCCCCCACAAUGGGACUGAGACACGGCCCAUACUCC
rnacentral:rRNA from 1 species